GACGAACCGUCCAAACGUUGUUCGGAAUCACUGGGCUUAAAGGGCGCGUAGGCGGGCUGCCAAGUCCGGGGUGAAAUCCUCCCGCUUAACGGGAGAACUGCCUCGGAUACUGGAAGUCUCGAGGAGGGUAGGGGCAUGUGGAACUUCCGGUGGAGCGGUGAAAUGCGUAGAUAUCGGAAGGAACGCCGGUGGCGAAAGCGACGUGCUGGACCUCUUCUGACGCUGAGGCGCGAAAGCCAGGGGAGCAAACGGG
rnacentral:rRNA from 1 species